AAACGGCAAAAAUAAAAUGUAAAAUAAUAUCAAACAUGAAAAUUGAAAUCCAAUAUAUCAUCAUUUCCUUAUACUGAUAUUGAAUCAACUAUUUACUGGUGAAUUACAUUCGGAUUUCGGUCUAAGGUAUCCGCACUUGUCUCCGGAAAUAUUAUACCCACACAAGUUGUCAACAUCCGUUUUCAAACUGGUCAAGGUGUUCUUCACGAUCUCCAUCAUGGAAAAUAUUCACGCAAUCACUUCUUUGCACAGAUAAUAGAACAUUGUAAACCUCUAACUGCAAAUACGGACCAAAAUGAAUAAAAUUCGAAAGCACUUAUGAUCACGUUUCAUGCCGAUUGAUGGAGAAAGAUGUUCACUAUGAAUCAAAAAUUCAAAACAGAUGACUUUUAUAUAUAUAUCAACAAAACCACUUGCAGUACAUGCACAUGUAUGAUUGAUAUACAUACAGCAGGAAAACAGUAAUAAAAUAGAGAGUCAACAACGAGUAAUGUCCAAAGCAAAAUUAUUUUGUUAAAACAAAACAAUAUGACUAGAAUAUAUUAAGGUACACAACACAUACUGGAGGAUGAAAAUUUUGAUACCUGGAAUCAGCAAAAUUUAAAUGAAUUUUGUUAUGAGAGAUAUGUUCAUGUACAAAAUGGUAACUGAGGUGGUUCAAGUGUUUAUUAGCAGACAUUUUUGUUGAACUUGUGCAGGAUUUGAAUAAAUGAAACUUAACUCAGUCUUAAGCUGACUAUGGGCUCAAUGUGUAG